ACGGUGGCGGUGGUGGUGGUGGUGGUGAAGGGGUAUCCUCUUCACACUCUGAUACCAGUCCUCCGGGAUACAGGUGCAGAAAACUCUGCCUGUCAACAAAGCGCUUUCAAGUCUGGGGCCCGGCUGCUGACGCUGACAAAAAUCUUGCUUGCCAUGCGGAGCAGAGUUCCUUUUGUUGCUCUGGUGAGGGUGUGCCCUCCUCUUGAAGUGCUGGAAUCCAUGGCUUCAAAGGGCAGGGAGCCCUGCAAACCACUAGACUUACAAGACAGGGAGUCUGAGAAGAUCAGAGUGAGCAGGGCGCUCUGUGCUUUCUGGUUCGGCAGCCCCCGUGUCUCAGAUGAAGAGAGCUUAGGAUUGAAGGACCCAACGACUUGAUUUUCCAAGUAAGACUUAGAAAAAUGCCAGCUACCAUAUAUCAUCAACAUUUCAUAAAAGAAAAGUUGGAAGGACAUAAUCCUUGAAUAAAGGACAGUUCUUUUGGUGGAAUAUAUUUAGCUUUAUUGAAAAUGUACUGUACUGUCUGUCCGUCUGAUCAGCCCUUAGAGGAUGGGUGCAGCCCUCACAGAGCAGGAAGCCUCACAUCUGUGAGCAUCUGGGGGUGCCCACCCCCCUGGAACCAGCAGCGAUUCAUUGCCGUCCUUACACUGUUCUCAUGGCAUUUGUCUCCUUCACUAGUUUGUCAGUGCCCGGCGGGAAACUUUUAGACUGAACUUGCAUGUGCUGUGACUUCUAUUAAAAUGCCCUUGUCGAUCACUGGACACUUUGGGUUCUCCUGUGCCUUGCUCCUUGCAAUCAUCUGUGAUUUGCCUGUCCCCGAAGGUCUUACUCCUUCUAGAUGGAGAGGCCUGGUGCAUGUCAUGCGCUGAAGGGUGCAUGUUCU
rnacentral:lncRNA from 1 species